GUCCAGCUCCCAAACCACAUGCUAAUGGUACGUGAUCAGUGCAGGUGAGACACGUGUCUCUGCUUCCUGAAGAAAACUUGUAAAGACAACGAGGACAGAGACAGAAGACAACAGAGAGAAGAGAGGAUGUGUGAGUCUCCUAUUACUUGACAGAGAAAGAUCUCUACCAAGAACUUGUCAGAUUGGCUGGCUUUUUCUGAUUGCAUGGAAGUCACGCCUACCCACGGCGGCGUGAUGGCGACAUACACGAAAAGUAUUUUCCUGGACAAAGCAGACGAGCAGCUCUGAGUCCAGGUGAACAACAUUAUUCCUUAACUCUGGGUCACUCAUCAUAGACAUCCGACUGUAAACACAGCCAGCACUCAAUCUGAAGCCUCCUGCUCUGAUCUGCUCACUGACUCUGCACAUGGCGAUCUGUUCAGCCCAGGAUGGACAGAUACCAGGAACAGCUGCAGACAGACUCCAGGCGAUGAAUCCACAUCAGCAGCAGAAGGAAGAGGAUGGAAAAGAUGACUGAUUACGACUCAUGUCUCUGCUCCUCAACGAUUUCAGUUCUAAAUUUCACUUUUCAGGGGGAAAAAAUGGAAGGAUAAUAAGAGACAAUAAAAAAUGGAUGUAACUUCAACCUAAGUCCUUCAUAAAAGCUCUGCAUUCACGCACUCAGCAUGGGAACAUUUGUUGUUAUCAUGACGCACAGGCCGGGCAUUCACACCAUUUGGCCGAACAGAUGAGGCCCCAGCUUCCCUCAGAUUAAUUGGUGUCACUUUGGUGGUUACAAGUCUCGUCGUCAUCGUAAUGUUGAACAAUGUUAUUGCCUCAUUUUGUGCAGGAUUAGAAGUGAGUCUGGUUAUGUGCAUGUUUAUGGCUCAAUGUUUUAUGUUUUGCUCUAUGAUGCACAGAUUGGUGAAGCUUGUGGGAAACUAUGAUGUGCAUUAUUUGUUUCGAUUAUUGCCUAUUAUAUUGUACUAUUAUAAGAUGUUGUUGUUUUCAUUAGCAUCUUUGAAUCGAACAGACUUGAAAUCUACCAAUGUUUACCCAGAUCAAACUAGUAUUCCUGAGCUUGGCCUGGGUUCGGCCCGGGUUCUAACUGUUUUUCUAAAACAACAAAAAAUGUUGUUAUUGAAUGUAUUUGUAAAUCCAAUGACCACCGUGACCGACUGCUGCACUAUUGUCUCCCUUCGUCUUUUAUUCCACUUUGAACAUGGCUAAGUGACAUUCCACAGUUAAUAUUGAAAUAUUCAAGUAAACUAACAAUCUAAUUAUGGUUUCUGUGGGAAUAUAAUUAAAACACAAUAUUUGGUUCAUUUUUGGAUUAAGAAAAAUCGGUUGGCAGGAAGCAACCUGCCCCACAAUAUCAAUUUCACACAUGUCAACAAUACAUUGUUUUCCAUACACUCAGUGACACAUAUUUUAACUCUGUUUAAUAGAAUUCAACAUGAGACAACAAACACCACAACCUCAAAUAUGUCCAUAAUAUCAAUUCCUCACUGACACUGUGUCAACAAUAACUAAACAUUGUGAAGUCAUACAAACACGCGGUAAGUGAUUUCAGUACUGUUGUAUUGGUUUACACUAACUUCCUCGGGUGCAGUUUAUAUACUGAUAACUGAAAGUGUCGUUUCAGUUCAUUGCAGACAUUUGCAAUAACACUAAAAUAUGAGGUAGCGUGCAUAAAACUCACUGAAUGUU